AUUGAACGCUGGCGGCAGGCCUAACACAUGCAAGUCGAGCGAGCGGCGGACGGGUGAGUAAUGUCUGGGAAACUGCCUGAUGGAGUGGGAUAACUACUGGAAACGGUAGCUAAUACCGCAUCCCAUCAGAUGUGACCAGAUGGGUUUAGCUAUGCGGGGUGGUAACGGCUGACCUAGGCGACGAUCCCUAGCUGGUCUGAGAGGAUGACCAGCCACACUGGAAGUGAGACACGGUCCAGACUAAUACGGGAGGCAGCAGUGGGGAAUAUUGCACAAUGGGCGCAAGCCUGAUGCAGCCAUGCCGCGUGUAGGAAGAAGGCCUUCGGGUUGUAAAGUACUUUCAGCGGGGAGGCGUUACCCGCAGAAGAAGCACCGGCUAACUCCGUGCCAGCAGCCGCGGUAAUAC
rnacentral:rRNA from 1 species